rnacentral:rRNA from 1 species
UACGAAGGGGGCUAGCGUUGCUCGGAAUCACUGGGCGUAAAGGGUGCGUAGGCGGGUCUUUAAGUCAGGGGUGAAAUCCUGGAGCUCAACUCCAGAACUGCCUUUGAUACUGAGGAUCUUGAGUACGGGAGAGGUGAGUGGAACUGCGAGUGUAGAGGUGAAAUUCGUAGAUAUUCGCAAGAACACCAGUGGCGAAGGCGGCUCACUGGCCCGUUACUGACGCUGAGGCACGAAAGCGUGGGAGCAAACAGGG